AUGUGCGUGUGGGGCCUGGCUGACCGAUGCAUCGUGCGUGCCUCACCUCCAUCUGCAGUUGGAGAGAGAUGGACUGGCAAAAUAUCUCCGUCAGCCCUUGGCCACCUCCAGUUUCCCUUUCCACCUCUCCAAUCUCCACCGCCGCUGCCGCCCCGCCCCCUCUCGGUUUCUCAUGCUGCCGCUCCGACGAAGAGCGCGCCGCUGGUGCUUAGAUUCCGGGGACAUCUCAUGGUCUUAGUUGACGGAAGGAGGGGAAGAGCAGCCGCGCCAGGCGGCAUGCCUUGCUGUGCCGCAUGGCAGCCGCUGCCCCAUGCUUUGCCGGCGCCGUCUCAUCGUCUUCAUAGACAUGCGCAUCUCUGUCAGGACCGCGCGUCCAUGCCUCCCCAUCUACCGGGCUGGAGUGGCCGCCUACUGGUUGAGGCAUCGCGCGGCAUCGAACGUCCUCGGCUGCUGCCGCUGCUGCUGGCCGGGUCCCUCCUCUCGCUCCUGCCGAGGCUGAGGUGA
rnacentral:rRNA from 1 species